rfam:Brachypodium distachyon strain Bd21 chromosome 5, whole genome shotgun sequence.
UUUGUACUUCCUCCGUCCAACAAAAGAUAUCUUAAUUUUGACUAAAUUUAAAUAUAUCUAUACAUUAAGUCAUAUCUAGAUACAUCCAAAUUUUAACAAACUUAUGAUAUCUUUUGUUGGACGGAGGAAGGAUGUA